GAGGGUAUAGCUCAGUGGUAGAGUGUGGCUUAGCUUGUAUAAGAUCCUGGGUUCAAUCCCCAGUACCACCA
rnacentral:tRNA from 1 species